AUUCCAGCUCCAAUAGCGUAUAUUAAAGUUGUUGCAGUUAAAAAGCUCGUAGUUGGAUUUCAGUCUUAAUUCGUCUGGCCCGCUCCCUUGAGGAGCCGAGUGCCGGUUGCGAAUUGGACUUCCUUCUAGCAUGAAUCUCCUACCGUUAUGCGGCCGGGAAGGACAUCUGGAUCAUUUACUUUGAAGAAAUUAGAGUGUUCAAAGCAAGCUUACGCUGUGAAUAUAUUAGCAUGGAAUAAUAACAUAGGACUCGGGUUCUAUUUUGUUGGUUUCUAGGACUCAAGUAAUGAUUGAUAGGGACAGUUGGGGGUGCUGCUAUUAUAUGGCCAGAGGUGAAAUUCACGGAUUCAUAUAAGAGCAACUUAUGCGAAAGCAUUCACCAAGGAUGUCUUCAUUG
rnacentral:rRNA from 1 species